rnacentral:rRNA from 1 species
GACAGAGGGUGCAAACGUUGCUCGGAAUUACUGGGCGUAAAGCGCGUGUAGGUGGAUUGGUGUGUCAGAUGUGAAAUCCCUGGGCUCAACCCAGGAACUGCACCUGAAACUACCAGUCUUGAGUGGUGGAGAGGGAAGUGGAAGUUCCUGGUGUAGAGGUGAAAUUCGUAGAUAUCAGGAGGAACACCAGUGGCGGAAGGCGGCUUCCUGGACACCAACCUGACGCUGAGACGCGAAAGCGUGGGGAGCAAACAGG